CAAAAAAUUCCGAGGGGGGGCCCCCCGGGGGGGUGGGGUUUG
rnacentral:rRNA from 1 species